GGCACUGUGGCCGAGUGGCAAGGCAAAGGUCUGCAAAACCUCUUACAGCGGUUCAAAUCCGCUCAGUGCCU
rnacentral:tRNA from 5 species